rnacentral:rRNA from 1 species
AAUCAACGCUGGCGGCGUGCCUAACACCUGCAAGUCGAACGCGAAAGUUCCUUCGGGGAUGAGUAGAGUGGCGUCCGGGUGAGUAACACGUGGGAACCUUCCCUAUGGUUCGGAAUAGCUCAGGGAAACUUGAGGUAAUACCGGAUAAGCCCUUACGGGGAAAGAUUUAUCGCCAUUGGAUGGGCCCGCGUCGGAUUAGCUAGUUGGUGGGGUAACGGCCUACCAAGGCGACGAUCCGUAGCUGGUCUGAGAGGAUGAUCAGCCACACUGGGACUGAGACACGGCCCAGACUCCUACGGGAGGCAGCAGUAGGGAAUAUUGGACAAUGGGCGCAAGCCUGAUCCAGCCAUGCCGCGUGAGUGACGAA